CGCCCCCCUGCACUUCUCCCCCAACUCAGAGAGAACUUGUGAGUCACUGCCACAGCCACGCACCUUCUUGUUAGAUGGUAACUGGGGCCCAUGGAGCAAAAAUGAUAAUAAAAGCACGGUAGUCCUGAGAAGAAGGUCGUCCAUCCCAAGCACAUCAUUUCUUGUUAUAAAAAUCCCUUUCCUCAAGCUGGGUGUCGUUGUGCACACCUGUGAUCCCAGUGACUUGGGAGGC
rnacentral:lncRNA from 1 species